rnacentral:tRNA from 1 species
CCUUCGGUAGCUCAGUUGGUAGAGCGGUGGACUGUAGAUCCGUAGGUCGCUGGUUCAAAUCCGGCCCGAAGGA